rnacentral:rRNA from 1 species
GGUCGCCCAAUGGGUGUACUGGGCUCGCCGCGCCUCACCUUCGGGGAACUAGUCGUGCUUCGGUGCGCUAGGGAACCGAACCUUACUUUGAAGAAAUUAGAGUGUUUAAAGCAGGCUUACGCUUGAAUACAUCAGCAUGGAAUAACAUGAUAGGACUUUGGUUCUAUUUUGUUGGUUUGAGGACCAAAGUAAUGAUUAAUAGGGCCAGUUGGGGGCAUUAGUAUUCUAUAGU